rnacentral:rRNA from 1 species
GACGAACCGUGCGAACGUUAUUCGGAAUCACUGGGCUUAAAGCGCGUGUAGGCGGCCCGGCACGUCGGCCGUUGAAAGCCCCCGGCUCAACCGGGGAAGCGGCGCCGAUACGGCCGGGCUGGAGGGGGAUAGGGGGCGCUGGAACUUCCGGUGGAGCGGUGAAAUGCGUUGAGAUCGGAAGGAACGCCCGCGGCGAAAGCGAGCGCCUGGGUCCUGCCUGACGCUGAGACGCGAAAGCCAGGGGAGCGAA